AUUGAACGCUGGCGGCAUGCCUUACACAUGCAAGUCGAACGGUAACAGGUCUUCGGAUGCUGACGAGUGGCGAACGGGUGAGUAAUACAUCGGAACGUGCCCGAUCGUGGGGGAUAACGGAGCGAAAGCUUUGUUAAUAUCGCAUACGAUCUACGGAUGAAAGAAGGGGACAGCUGGGCAUUGCGCGGACGGAGCGGCCGAUGGCAGAUUAGGUAGUUGGGGGGAUAAAAGCUUACCAAGCCGACUAUCUGUAGCUGGUCUGAGAGGACGACCAGCCACACUGGGACUGAGACACGGCCCAGACUCCUACGGGAGGCAGCAGUGGGGAAUUUUGGACAAUGGGCGAAAGCCUGAUCCAGCCAUGCCGCGUGCAGGAUGAAGGCCUUCGGGUUGUAAGCUGCUUUUGUACGGAACGAAAAGACUCUUUCUAAUAAAGAGGGUCCAUGACGGUACCGUAAGAAUAAGCACCGGCUAACUACGUGCCAGCCGCCGCGGUAA
rnacentral:rRNA from 1 species